UUGCUUGAUGUUUGACUGUGUUAUCAAAGUUGUUGACUCGCUAGUUUGUCAUACUCGAGGAAAGCACAUUUCAAUAGGUUUUGCUAGGCUUUAGGGUGACCAGAUUUGAGUUUGUAAAAAAGAGGACUUCGUCGCUGGGGGAGGGUGCGGGGUCCAGCAUGCUAUAGCCUACCCUGCCUUCUCCCCUGCGACGAAGUGUCCUCUUUUUCACAAACUCAAAUCUGGUCACCCUAUUAUAACACGCUUGGACAUUGAUGCUAGGUUUACGUCCUCUUUUUUGUCCGGGUAAAAGAGGACUUGUCCGCCCGGGUAAAAGAGGACGUCUGGUCACCCUAGCUUAGCCGCUAUCAAGACAUCUCGUUAGCGAUAUCAGACAUCUUGUUAUAACACGCUUGGACAUUGAUGCUAGUAAUAAUCGAGUAGCUAGUAAUAACGUCGUAUACACUUCUUUGUAAUGUUAUUGUGAUCGCUAUCUGGCUAACUUGCCACCCAAGCUCCACUAGUCUCAGGAUAUUCCAGAUAUUUCCAAGGAAUUUAGCGAUAGUUGACUUUGUCUGUUAGCAUUCCCUUACAGCCAGUUGGUCUGUGGUUCAUGUUUCGUUAGCUUAGUAUGCUACUUGUGUGUUACCUGACUUGAAUGCCGUGACUUGUGAAAACAUAUAUAAAGAUGUAGCGGCAAACAUACUGAAUUGGUUCUUUCUAUCAAAAGCGGUAGGGAAUGUCUACUCCCAGCAAGGGACAUGCACAGCCACCACCGCCGCCUGUAUCUAGUAUUUCAGAAGAGUCCGACCGAGAUGGGGACAAAGAAUUCGCUAUGCAAGGUGUUCAACCGUUGGGCAAAGAAACCGAAGCGGUUGGUGUGCUAGAAUCUAGCAUGCACUCCUUGAGCAUUGCUGAAGAGGAGCAGCAUGACUCUCUGGAUGAGGAAGAGGCGAAUUAUAUGAGGAAUAGCAUGUAAGUCUUGCGCAUGAAACCAUCUUAGUUCGUGUUCUUUUGUGCUUCAAGUUUAUGGUGUUGUGGGUGUGUGUGUUUUGUAAAUCAUUUUUAUUUACAGUAUUGACAUGGAUGAUUGCUGGGAGGAUCCUAAUCAAAGGGCUUGGAAGAAGAUCGGGACAGCUCUGAUGAAGACUAUAGUCCUUUUCUUCAUCUACGGUAUGUUUCAGUUUCUAGUUGCAUUUCAGGUUGAACUACUGCUAUGUUGAAGGGAGCAAUC
rnacentral:lncRNA from 1 species